UACGUGAGGGGCGAACGUUGUUCGGUGUCACUGGGCUUAAAGGGCGCGUAGGUGGCUGCGUAAGUAAGGUGUGAAAGCCCUCGGCUUACCCGGGGAAUCGCGCCUUAUACUGCGUGGCUUGAGGGUCACAGGGGAAGGGGGAACUCCAGGUGUAGCGGUGAAAUGCGCAGAUAUCUGGGGGAAGGCCGGCGGCGAAGGCGCCCUUCUGGGUGAUUCCUGACACUGAGGCGCGAAAGCGUGGGGAGCAAACAGG
rnacentral:rRNA from 1 species